GUCUCUCCUGGCUGGAUUUUGUGUUCAAUGCGUCUCUGGCGAACCGGAGAGAGCGGAGAUCGGACCAAACUGCCGUAAGAUCUUGUGCGGCUCCCGCGGAGCAGGCCGUUCACAUCGCCUGAAACGACGUGUGGCGGAUCUUUUGUCUAAUUUUAUUCCAGAAGAUGAAGCAGCUCUCAUGAAAAAUGGAAGAUACACUUGCCUUGUGUGCUCUUACCGUCCUGUGUUUGAUACGGUCGACAUGCUGACAGUCCACAGGAAGGGGAAGAGGCAUCUAGAAGGAUUAAAAGCUUUCUAUGGCAAGAAAGCGCGGCUGAGGAACGAAAUCACCAAAAGGCAACAUGAAAACUACAUCCAGGAUGAAGACAGGGGGCAGGAACCCUCCAGUUCAGCCCCUUUACUGGUGCAAACACGGAAGCUUACACAUCAUGCUCUAUUGAAGACUGUGCCAUACAACAGUUGCCACCGAAAAAACCAGGUGAGUGAGAUGCUUAUUUAAUACACAAAUUCCCACAUUCACUCUAAAUCUCAGAAAAGGAAUAAAAUAAAAACACAACUUUGAACAAAAACCUCUGAUUUUUAAGCACAAAAUCUGAAAAGGGAGGAGAUUCCAGUGGCAACACUCACAGCAAAACACCUGCUGAGCAAGAAAACACAUGGAAAACUGAAGUUUCAAACAGUGUGGCACCAAGCAGUUCAAGUGACUUCACAGCAGCCAAUAAAGAGUUAGAUCCAUUGAAAGAUGAAAAAGGAUCUCAGCUUACAGUGGCCCACGAAACAGAGCCCAUAACAGCCCAGAGGAGGACAGAGCUGGAACACUACCUCAAACUGAAAAGUGAUGGGUGGCUGCAAGACCGGAGUGGCAAAUGGAUUAAAGAUGAGAAUGUGGAGUUUGAUUCAGACGAGGAGGAGCCUUCCUUCGCUUGCUUGCUUACCCACAAGUCACUGAGAGGACUAAGAACUGUGGGAAAAAACACAGAUUAACUUGUACCACAGUAGUACAUUCAGAGGCCACGGUCCUGUUUGAAACAGCAGCAACUCCACAUGCUAAGGACAUUCUGUAACAGAUUUCCAUCAACCUCUCAUUGAAUCACAUGGUUGUCUUGUGUUGAUUCUACAGCACCAGUGCAAUCUGUGGACUUGUAGAAACCUGCUAAUAAAUACAAGAAAAAACAUGAUCGAUAUCAAAUUCCUGCCUCUAACUUGAUGAAAAUGUUUUAUUUUUGGUUCUACAUGGAACAUCAUAUCAAGAUUUCAAUAAAAUAUACCAUUAAGUAUUUUUGAACACGUC